GAACUCAUCAACCCUAUCCCACCAUCGAAACUCGGUCUGAAUCUUGUUUCUCACAACAUUAUACAGCAAUGUAGGAUAAAAAAGAGCACGAGCCCCCGCUCCAACCAAAGCCCUUUUCGUAUCCGAAACAGCCAAUGGACCUUCACAAGUAUCAUCACAAAACUUCUCCUCCCUGUUAACUACUUCCCUCUCCUCCUUCAGUUCUUCAAUAUACAUUUUCUAAUUUGCACUAAACAAAACCCUAAAAAAUAAUUUGGAUUCAAGCUUAAUAAACAGGUCCAAUCUUUAUUCCUAUACAGUAUGAAUAGAAAAACCCAGAAACCAAAACUGAAACCAAAUGCAGCAAAACACCUAAACUGGACAAAAAUUGCACAUAUUCCAACGGCAAGAUAAAACCCAAAAAGAAUUGGAUUGAAGCAUGUAUCUUUUCCAAAGCAUAUUUGAUUUAUUAACAAGAACAACAACAAGAAAAAAGAAACCUAAUCCCCCGAAAGGGAAGAAAAAAUGAUGUAAGAAACAAGAAUUCCAAAUAAAAAAAGAAAAUUAAAUUGAUAGGGUAAAGAAAGGUUCUUGGUUGUUAGGUGAAAUCUAAUUGUUCAAAGGGCAUAUAGAGACUAG
rnacentral:misc_RNA from 1 species